rnacentral:rRNA from 1 species
UACGGAGGGUGCAAGCGUUGCUCGGAAUCAUUGGGCGUAAAGCGCACGUAGGCGGACUGUUAAGUCGGACGUGAAAUCCCUCAGCUUAACUGAGGAAGUGCAUUCGAAACUGGCAGUCUUGAGUACGGGAGAGGGUAGCGGAAUUCCCGGUGUAGAGGUGAAAUUCGUAGAUAUCGGGAGGAACACCAGUGGCGAAGGCGGCGGCCUGGACCGAUACUGACGCUGAGGUGCGAAAGCGUGGGGAGCGAACAGG